ACGAACCGUCCAAACGUUAUUCGGAAUUACUGGGCUUAAAGGGUGCGUAGGCGGCGCGGUAAGUUGGGUGUGAAAUCCCUCGGCUCAACCGAGGAAUUGCGCUUGAUACUGCCGUGCUCGAGGGAGACAGAGGUGAGCGGAACUUAGGGUGGAGCGGUGAAAUGCGUUGAUAUCCUAAGGAACACCAGUGGCGAAAGCGGCUCACUGGGUCUCUUCUGACGCUGAGGCACGAAAGCUAGGGGAGCGAACGGGA
rnacentral:rRNA from 1 species